rnacentral:rRNA from 1 species
CGCUUUCACUCCUACGGGAGGCAGCAGUGGGGAAUAUUGCACAAUGGGGGAAACCCUGAUGCAGCCAUGCCGCGUGUGUGAAGAAGGCCUUCGGGUUGUAAAGCACUUUCAGUAGGGAGGAAGGUAGUGUAGUUAACACCUGCAUUAUUUGACGUUAGCGACAGAAGAAGCACCGGCUAACUCCGUGCCAGCAGCCGCGGUAAUACGGAGGGUGCGAGCGUUAAUCGGAAUUACUGGGCGUAAAGCGCAUGCAGGUGGUUUGUUAAGUCAGAUGUGAAAGCCCGGGGCUCAACCUCGGAAUAGCAUUUGAAACUGGCAGACUAGAGUACUGUAGAGGGGGUAGAAUUUCAGGUGUAGCGGUGAAAAUGCGUAGAGAUCUGAAGGAAUACCGGUGGCGAAGGCGGCCCCCUGGACAGAUACUGACACUCAGAUGCGAAAGCGUGGGGAGCAAACAGGAUUAGAUACCCUGGUAG